rnacentral:rRNA from 1 species
UGCCAGCCGCCGCGGUAAUACGGAGGGUGUAAGCGUUGUUCGGAAUUAUUGGGCGUAAAGAGCAUGUAGGCGGACUGUUAAGUCUGAUGUGAAAGCUCGGGGCUCAACCCCGGAAGUGCAUUGGAAACUGGCGAACUUGAGUACGGGAGAGGAAAGUGGAAUUCCGAGUGUAGGGGUGAAAUCCGUAGAUAUCGGGAGGAACACCAGUGGCGAAGGCGAGUCUCUGGACGACACCUGACGCUGAGGCACGAAAGCUAGGGGAGCAAACAGGAUUAGAUA